ensembl:lncRNA
UAAAGAAAUGCUUGUAUCCGGGCGUUGGUGGCGCACAUCUUUAAUCCCAGCACUUGGGAGGCAGAGGCAGACGGAUCUCUUCCAUUUCUGCAAAACCUGAAAGCCUUCCACACACCAAGUCCUACCCUGAACCCUAGAGGUAUGAGAACAGAAGAAACAGAGAUCCACCUUCAAAAGCUGCUGGACCUUGGCCUUCAUCCAGCAGCUGGUGGAAGUAGAAGCAGACACCCACAACUAAUCACCGAACUGAACUGGAACUCAGAUGCAGAGAAGGACGAGUGAUGAGCAAAGGGGUCCAGACCAGGCUGGUGAAACCCACAGAAACAGCUGACCUGAACAACGGGGAGCUCUUGGUCCCCAGACUGAUAGCAAGGAAACCAGCAUGGGACUGAUCCAGAUCCCAGGAACGUGGAUUUCAGUGAGGAGACCUCAGAAAUCUACGGGACCUCCUGUAGUAGAUCAGUACUUAUCCCUAGCAUAGGUGUGGACUUUGGGAGCCCAUUCCACAUAGAGGAAUACUCCCUGAGCCAAGACACACGGGGUGGGCCUAGGCCCUAUCCCAAAGGAUAUGAUAGACUCUGAAGACUCCCUAUGGAAGGCCUCACCCUCCCUGGGGAGCAGAAAGAGUAUGUGAUAGGUAGGGUUUUAGUUGAG